rnacentral:tRNA from 1 species
AAGAAUUUAAGUUAUAUGAAACUUUUAACCUUCAAAGUUAAACAUAGGAAGAACAUCCUAAUUCUUA